AGUGUGUUAGGCAGCCUAAUACCUCUUCUCUCCCACAGUUUCCUUCAGAGUCUCCCAAUCACACAGAGCUAGCUCUGGCAAUGUGUGCGUCAACCUCAUCAUCCGUGUGUAACAUCCCUAGAAAAUAUACUGCCAAGAGAGAAGGUCAUCAGUGUCCUGGUGCAUUCCAGUCAGGUUCUGACGUCAAAAAAUGAAAGUGGUUUAAACAGACUGUCUGCCGCAUCCUGAGAUGGUCCUAAGCGCCAUGAAAACGCCUACGGCCUCCUGCUGCCCUCGAAAUUGUUUUCCUCCUAGACUCUCAGAAGAAGGUAAAAGAUAACGUUUCUAUGGGAACCCAGGUGCCUGCAGAGUGAUACUCAAGUCUAUAGUCCACCUGCGCCCUAGGAGAUCGGAUUCACAGAUCAGGCUUCUAGAGAUAUUCUGUUAUUCCCGCUGUUAACCAUCAAUGGUGGUAAGGGUCCCAGUUUCAUUUAAACAAUUGACAUCAAUUAGCUUUAACAAAGGGAUGUUUCCUGAGAUGAUCCAGCAAGAAUGGAAGAUACAAACAUAUUCCCCCAUCACCUGGAGGCACCAUGUGUAUAUCUCACUGUAUUGCCUUGGUCCCUAAGGAGAGCAGGGUCAGACUUAACAAAGCAGUAAUGAGCUGUGAUGGGAAUCUCUCACUGCAUUUAAUUAUGCCAUUUCCAAUAGAUAUUUGGUGAACUGUUUUGUAUUAAUAUUAACAUCACUUGGCUAACCUCACAGACUCAUGGAAUGAGAGAGUGAAGGAAAGACUUUUUUACAUUCUUCAGAAGGGAAGGCAAAGGGGAGUUGGACCUUCUCAAAGCAACUGAGUUAUUUGUAGAAGGAUUCUCCUUAUUCUCAUGCUCUCGAUGACCCCACGAGAAUGACCUCAGCUCUGUCUCAGCUUCUUCUGUGCUAUGGAGGAAAUGAUAAUACCAAGGGAAUCUGUCAAAGAACUUUGCAAACCUUCAAACCCUACUGAAAGGCAGCCGUGAUUCGGGGUCCGUUCCCCAAAGGGACUCAACGCGCCCAUAAACCAGUAUUGUUACUCAGGGUGUCUGUCCCAAGGGCCCAAAAGUAGCACUCGCUCCCACCAGCACUGUUUGUCCAGCUGACCGCAGGUGUCAUUUUGCGCGCUGAGAUCAAUCAAGUCUCCCGGGACUCCGGCACUUGGACCCAAGAUGGCAUCGGUCGGCCUUGGCAAGUCAGAAUUGGAGGAGGAGGAAGCGGAGCAAAAGGAGUCAGAAAGGGGUUUAUCUCUUAGAGACCCCUCCCAAGCUCUGCAUACCACGAGAUGAGAGGGGUGUCCAGUUGAGAAGGAAGAAAAUGUUUUAAGUGCUUAGAGAUCUCCGUUUGCGGGGCAGAUGAGGAGAUGGGGAGGGGAGCAAGAACUUUUGGAUGCGGAAAACAGCCCCCUGUGGCUGCCCCCCUGCUCUUCAGAGACUUUUUUUCCCUCACUGGGCGGGGUCCUGGAAGCCACGCCCUCUAUACUCAUUCCCCUACCCCCACCCCCCACC